rnacentral:sRNA from 1 species
CCCACGCCACUAUGCUAUCUCUAACUCUGCCAUCCAGACCGAGCAAACGUACUUAAGACCUUUGUGUAAGAUCAGAAAAUCAUAAGACAGCAUUAAAAGUACUAUACAGGAGGAGAUGGAACAAGAUGGCCAAAUAGAAGCCUCCAGCAAUCAUCUCCCCCAAAGGAAUUGAACAACUAUCAAAACAAAAUUGAACAACUAUCUAAACAAAAAAAGUACCUUCAUAAAAAGCAAAAAUCAGACAUAUGAAGGAGGGUCUUUUCAUAUUAAAUUGUUUUCCUGGCAGCACCUGAACCAAAGGAUCAGACUUAAAAUAAGUCUUUUUCCAAUGUUAUGUUGAAAUUGGAUACGACAUUUCUCACAAAACUUCUAAGUCAAACAGUGAUGAGAAACUACUGCCUAAAAGUUGAUAUUAUGGAUUCCCAUAAGGAUUCAUGUCUUCUAUUCACUUUAAUGAACAGUUGUAGGGCAACAAUUCUAGAAGAGUUCCAAUUCUCAUCAGGAGAAUGGACAAGGUGGAGAAGCAGAGAAAAUGCAAUGAGUAGAAUGUCUAAGUCAUCACUUUGGAAUUGACUGAACAUAAAUAAAAAUGAGAAAGAUACGUAAAAAAGAAGGGAAUGGAUGCCACAGCCCCCAUUUUGCCAACGAGGCAGCUGAGGUUCCCAGAGGCUCAAUACCAGCACCAUGGGCGGCAGCACGCAAGGCAAACACAGCCGGAGGAUUUUAAUGCCUUUUGUAAAGACCUGCCUAAUGGUUCUGCCUUCAGUGCAGACAAUAUGGAAGAGUGUGACAGAUGUUAUCAUUGCUCCAUUGUGUACGAGCGUAGGACGAUGCUUCUCUUCUGUCAGCCUGCAACU